UUAUCAGAGUGACCAUCUAUGUUGGCAACGAAUGCUGCACAAACUGAACCAGCUAUGUAUACUGCUGCCUGAAGAUAGAAGAAUGCAAACAUUUUUUUAUACGGACGGACGGACCAGACAUUGAAGAUAAAAAAAAAUUCAGAACAAAAUUUGCUACAUUACUGCAAUGCUGAACGUUAACUUGUUUUGUAGUCACAAAGACACUUUUUGUUGAAAAAUAAAGGGCAUACCUCAGCAUUUGGCAGCAGCAGUUGCAAUGCUGAACGCAUUAGUGGACACACACACAAGGAGCAGCCAGAGGAGUGAAACUGAUGAUGACAGGAUGAUUGUAAUUAUGCCAGAUCCAAAUACAAGUACCUUGCCUAGGCUUCAAUGACUCCCAUUCAAAAUAUAGAGAGAUAAUAUAACCUUCGUAUUCUGUGCAUAGCAAAAAAAAUCCCAAUGCAUUGCUCUAACUAUGACAUAAAGGUUUCUAACUAUGGUGGUGCACAUGAUCCAAUGAGCAAGUGAGAGAGUAAAUGACUGGUGAGUGGUUGGUGUUUCAACAUCAAGCAGCAUGAACAGAAGGCAAUGUGUCUGCCCUUCGGCCUUUGUCUCCUCCUUCAAAGCCGGAGAGUCUUACUCCCACGGAUGCAGGCGCCCUCGAUUCUGUGCAUUAAACAAUACACAAUUCGUCGGAUCUAGACACGACACAAGAUGACCAUGACAAUAAGGAUUCAAAGGAGGACCUAGGUGUCUAAAUACCUUGGUGUAUGGGAGUCAAAACAGAGGUGUACCAGCCCAAUUGAAUGAAAAUCAGCCACCAGCCCACCAGACAAUAGUUUUAGGUUCCACGUUCUUUCAGAUUUUCACAUGAAUUGAUAAUAAAGAGCAAAUACAUAUUGCCUUGUUUAGGAUUAUUGGACACACUGACGUGGAGAAUACCCUGCACCCUUUGUAACCUCAGGUAAAAAAAGAAGGAAAACAAAAAAACUAUUAGUAAUGAAAAUGUG
rnacentral:lncRNA from 1 species